GACGGGGGGGGCAAGUGUUCUUCGGAAUGACUGGGCGUAAAGGGCACGUAGGCGGUGAAUCGGGUUGAAAGUGAAAGUCGCCAAAAAACUGGCGGAAUGCUCUCGAAACCAAUUCACUUGGGUGAGACAGAGGAGAGUGGAAUUUCGUGUGUAGGGGUGAAAUCCGCAAAUCUACGAAGGAAGGCCAAAAGCGAAGGCAGCUCUCUGGGUCCCUACCGACGCUGGGGUGCAAAAGCAUGGGGAGCGAACAGG
rnacentral:rRNA from 1 species